GGACAAGAAUGAAAGGCAAACCAAAGGCCAUAAACUACUUCACUAUAUUUCCUACAAAUGCUGGGGUGUCUGUUAUUCUGCACAGUUGGGUGCAUUAAGCAAAUUCUCUUUUUUCAGGAUGACUGAAGCUGAAUUUCUAUUUAUUUUUGUUUAUGCAUCUCUGUUCAACCAGGAUCAUAUCCUCAACUCCCAAAGAGGAGCAGGCCCCCUCUGCCAUCAUGCUUAGCCUAGUCACCAGCCUGAGGCUUGCCUAGCCACUGGAUCUUCCCUUUGCCUUGCUCCUGGAGUGCAGAAGUUUGAUAUUCUCUUUCAUCUGACUCCUAACAUCACUUCUCUGUAUUGACUGUGGGGCUCUUUUUUGGCUUGGAUUUUCUCUUUGUUAAGACCUUGUGGGACCACAGAAAGAAGAAAACAGUCAUGCAGGGGACCUCACUUCCUGCCUUUCCCAGCUGAUGUUGUUGGUUACAUCUGCAAUCAUACUGCCAUAUGGUGUAGCACUGGCAUCAUAAGAUUCAGUCCCCUUAUGUGAAUAAGUCUAAUGAUGGUACUGCUGUUGAUGAUCAAAUAUAUUAGGAAAUUAAGUGAAAGCCUCCUCAGGAUGUUAUACUGAUGGAAAACUAUUGGCCUGAGGAAACACUAGAUUUAGUGAAUCAUCAUUUAAUUGCUAUACUAAUAGUUCUGGUCAGGUACAGCAGAUAUUAUGGCUCACACCUAUAAUCCCAGCAUUUUGGGAGGCUGACGUGGGAGGAUCACUUGAAUCCAGGAGUUUGAAGAGACCAGCCUGGGCUGUAUAGUGAGAUCCUGUCUCUACAAAGCCUAAAAGAAAAUUAGCCAGGUGUGAUGGUGUGCACCUGUGGUCCCAGCUACUUAGGAGGCUGAGGAGGAAGGAUCACUUGAGCUUGAGCUCGGGAGAUGGAGGCUACAGUGAGCUGUGAUCUCCAGCCUGGGCAACAGAGAUCCUGUCUCUAAAACCAAAACAAAACAAUAGUUCUGCAUAAGUGUAUCAUAAGAUAUGUAUAAUAGUAGAACAAGUUAUCAUAUCAGGACAAAAAUAUGAAAAGAUAUGUAAUGACUUUCUAGAUAGAUACAUUGAUUCUUUUUUAGAAUUUAAUUGAAAAUAAAAAUUGUAUAUAUUUGUUGUGAA